rnacentral:rRNA from 1 species
GAUGAACGCUAGCUACAGGCUUAACACAUGCAAGUCGAGGGGAAACGAUAUUGGAAGCUUGCUUCCGAUAGGCGUCGACCGGCGCACGGGUGAGUAACGCGUAUCCAACCUGCCCAUCACUUGGGGAUAACCUUGCGAAAGUAAGACUAAUACCCAAUGACGUCUCUAGAAGACAUCUGAAAGAGAUUAAAGAUUUAUCGGUGAUGGAUGGGGAUGCGUCUGAUUAGCUUGUUGGCGGGGUAACGGCCCACCAAGGCGACGAUCAGUAGGGGUUCUGAGAGGAAGGUCCCCCACAUUGGGACUGAGACACGGUCCAAAGUCGUACGGGAGGCAGCAGUGAGGAAUAUUAGUCAAUGGGCGAGAGCCUGAAACAGCCAAGUAGCGUGCAGGAAGACGGCCCUAUGGGUUGUAAACUGCUUUUAUAAGGGAAUAAAGUGGGAGUCGUGACUCCUUUUGCAUGUACCUUAUGAAUAAGGACCGGCUAAUUCCGUGCCAGCCGCCGCCGUAA